ACUGAAAGCCUCCCUGUAAGGUGCUGAUUGACUUCCAGAUCUGACGACCCCGUCUCUGCCUCAUUCUUCCUGUUUCCAUCAGAAGGCACAGGUCUGGGACUCAGCGCAGCUGACCUGUCUGUCCCUCUCUGCACAGUUUACUCCUGGGCUCUGCAGAGAGAAGUCAGUGCCUCAAUUUUCCAUUGAAAUAUGCACCCUUGGCAUCCUGGCAGGUCCAUGUGCCUUGGAUUUCUUUUUUCUUGUUGUAGUUCAUUGGCUGGGCCUCCAGAUAAGAUGUGGACUGGGAAUGAGGAGGGAGGUGAGUCCUGGAGGAGGGAACAGACUCCCGGGGACACACAGCAAGGAUUCCAGCCUGGGCCCAUAUUGGUAGCGCUUCCUCACGGUGACAGAUCCAGCCACUGCGCCAGCAGACGCCCUUCACGGAAACCUCACGUAAAGGCUGAGUUAGUGCUGUCUCAGACGACUGCAACGGCGUGGUAGGAAACGUCAGUAAAGAACGGUUUCCUUG